GCCUCUGAAGGCUUCUAAUUGCUAGGGAAAAGGCGAAGACCCCAGUGCGUCCUCCCCACACCUGGGUUUCUGAUUUGAGCAACAACAAAAACUCAAAGUCAUUAGUUCCUUCCAAGAUGGCAAAAAGAGAAACACACUUGAACUAGGACUCAGCUUGUUCACGGAGUUGUUUUGCUAAGAUUCAUAUGACAGUUUACUUUGCAACUCUGAGCACACACCUAUGGCAAUGAAGGGGACUGGGCUCUGUGCUGAAUGAUGGAAGAAUAAAGUCUAUUAUGAAGGACACGGUGAUAGCCACAAAAGCACCCUGGUGAGUUCCGGUUAUGUUGCACCAGGAAAAUGUGGAUGUAGGGUUGAUUCCACACAUACUCAAGAUUAGAAUCCUUCAAUUCUUUUUCGUCAGUUAUGACAGCCAGAUGGCUUAGCAUGGAGAUGUGAAGCCUAAGGCAUGAAAAAACUUGAGAAGAGCAAAGGGCCAAGGUUUAAUGAAGAGCUAAGGGCUCCACCAGGGAAU